CCUGGGACUUGCGUCCCAGGCUAUCACAUGCCGUCGCCUUGCGACU
rnacentral:sRNA from 1 species